UCGGCGUGUAGCUCAGGGGUGAGAGCGGCGUCCUUAUAAGGCGACGGUCGCGGGUUCAAUUCCCGCCACGCCGAU
rnacentral:tRNA from 1 species